rnacentral:rRNA from 1 species
UACGUAGGGGGCUAGCGUUGUCCGGAAUCAUUGGGCGUAAAGGGCGUGUAGGCGGUCCGGUAAGUCCGCUGUGAAAGUCGGGGGCUCAACCCUCGAAUGCCGGUGGAUACUGUCGGGCUUGAGUACGGAAGAGGCGAGUGGAAUUCCUGGUGUAGCGGUGAAAUGCGCAGAUAUCAGGAGGAACACCAAUUGCGAAGGCAGCUCGCUGGGACGUUACUGACGCUGAGACGCGAAAGCGUGGGGAGCAAACAGG